rnacentral:Y_RNA from 1 species
AGUUGGUCCGCGGGUUGUGGGUUAUUGUUAGUUCUUUAACAUUGUCUCCCCCCCACAACCGUACUUGACUAGCUUUGA